AUUAGUCUCUCUGGAUCUCAUACUUCAUUCUUCAUUUCUGCUGGAGAGAAGCAAGCAAGUCUAUACAAAACAUAAGAGUUCAUGAAUCGAUCUGUGCACAAAAGUUUCACAACAAAUUAAACAAGAAGACUAAGGAAGGAAAAAAAUGGGAUGCAUUAUUUCCAUUGCAAAAGAGGUCGUUAAAAUUGUCGUCCGAACGCUACGUUGCUUCUUGUGCUGCAAAGUACACGGACGACGAUCAUCACUUCCCCUUCAUGAGCUUGAUGUCACUCCUUAUUUAUACAAGGACCAUAUUUUACAUGAAAUGAUAACAACUCUAGCACAACCAGAUAUUAUCAUGAUUGGGUUGUACGGAUCAAGUUAUAAGAGUAAGGACAAUGUGGUGAAGAAAAUUAUCAGGAGAGUUGAGAGGGAUGGACAAUUUGAUGUGAUUAUAAAGGCAAGCCUGGGAAAAAAGAAUAUAUGGUGGAGCAAAUCACUAGAUGUGAAAAAUAUUCAAGAAGAACUUGGGAACCAGCUGGGUUUACAACUCCAAAAGAAAACUUUAGAGGAAAGAGCUAGUUGUUUAUAUGAAAAAAUAAAGAUGAAGCAAAAAAUUCUUAUCAUCUUAGAUGACCUACAAGGUGAAAUCAACUUGACCAAGAUAGGAAUACCAUUUGGAAAUGAUCACAGGGGUUGUAGAAUUUUGUUUGUAGCCAAUAAUAAGAACGUGUUGUCCAACAAAAUGAAAAUCCCAAUAGCAUUCUCCAUGGAUAACUAUAGUUGAGGUCUUAAGUUCAAACUUAUGAAAUAAAUUUAUGGGACUUUUUUGUGACUUUAUAUUUUUAUAUGGAAAAGUUUGUUUGGUUAA